UUUCUUUGCAGUUUUCAUCACUCUGGAGACAAGGACGGAACCCUGCAGUGGGGUUUCAGACUAAGAGACUGGGUGCAUCGAGUUUUAUUCAACACGUCAGACCAGUCCCUGAUUCAUAACAGUGUGCCUAAUACAGAAGAGGCACUGAAUAAGAAGGAUGAUGCUAGCACUACCCCUCAAAGCUGUUGGGAGGAUCAAAUGUGAUAAUAUUUGUGAAGUGCUUUGCCAACCUUCCAGUGCUAUAUGGAAGCUAGCUAGCUAAUGAAAGAAACCUUUUUUUGGAAUUGAAUUGAAUUGAAUUGAAUUGAGCUCAUGAGUGCCCAAGGCAGCCCACUCUACUUUUGGAGAAUCCAAAUGAUUGGGAAAUUUUCCCUCACAGCCAACUACGAUUUGCCUCUUUGCUACUUCCAGCUAUUGCUAUUAGUUCUGCCUUCUGGGGCCCAGCAGAAGUCAAAUUCUUCUCCUACAUAAUGAUCCUUCAAAUGGUUGAAAACAUCUUGUUUUCCUCCUAAAUAUCUUCUUCAGGCUAAAGCUCCUUCAAGAAACCCUCAUGGCAUAAUCUCAAGACACAUUUCCAUCCUGGUUACCCUCUCGUGGAAGCUCUCCAGCUUAUCCUUCUUCAAAUGUGGUUAUAUCAGUUCCUCCAUUUGCCUCUCCAAGGAGAACCUGUAAAUCCUCCUAUCUGGCUGGCUGCAAUUUCCUUAGGUUUGCAAGUUUCAUUUUUCACACGAAUAUGAAUAUUGAUGUCGUUCGGUUCUUUCAAUCAGAUAGCAAUUUGUUUACCUUUGAAGGACGAUAUACAGCAGAGACCCAUGUAUCCUUGGGGGAUAAGUUCCAAGACCUGAUGUGGAUGGCCAAAACCAAGGACAUAAAUGAACACCUGUCGACCUCUGAUAUACUGGCUCCUGCUCACUGGCUGGCCCCUCCGAGGCUUACCACCCCCAACAACCCCCCCAAAAAAAACCCCAUAGUGAGAGUGAAUGCAGAAGAACUGACAUGGACAGAGACCUCUGCUGAGGCACUGGGGAACCUCUGGAACUUCCCAGAAGGUGAAAUAAGAGUUGGCUCCAUAAUGACAUCAUUCGGUGAGUUCAGAAAUGGCUGAAUGAGCAAACCUGAAGAGUGGGUGUUAAUGGUUUCAUGUCCACUUGGAGAACUGUCUCUAGAAAGGUGCCGAGGAUCCGUCCUUCAGCCUUGCUGUUUGGCAUUUUUACCCAAGACUUACGUGAAAGGAAUAUGUGCAGAUAACACAAAAUUAGGCACUAAUAGCUAGCGGAUUGGAUGACAAAGCUAGGAUCUGGGCAGCUUAGAACAAUGAGGGGAAAUUUGAUUGACACAAAUAUAGAAUCCCAAGUGGGGUUAAUACAACUGACUUUACAGGUACAAGAUAGGGGAGAUAGAUUGGUCAACAGUUUCUGUUAAACCAUAGUUGGGUUUCAAUGUACUUAUUUGGUUGUGUUGAUUUUUUUCUUCUGUUUUCCCCUUGUCUUUAAAAAAGUACUAUUUGUUUAUAUAGGAUGGUUCUCUUGGAGGGGAAGGGGAAAAUACUGGGGGGGAUAUAAAAAACACAAAAGAAAGCAAUAAAAAUUUUUUAAUAAAAUAAAAUGAAGAUUAA
rnacentral:lncRNA from 1 species